rnacentral:rRNA from 1 species
GUGGGGAAUAUUGGACAAUGGGCGAAAGCCUGAUCCAGCCAUGCCGCGUGUGUGAAGAAGGUCUUCGGAUUGUAAAGCACUUUAAGUUGGGAGGAAGGGCAGUAAGUUAAUACCUUGCUGUUUUGACGUUACCGACAGAAUAAGCACCGGCUAACUUCGUGCCAGCAGCCGCGGUAAUACGAAUGGUGCAAGCGUUAAUCGGAAUUACUGGGCGUAAAGCGCGCGUAGGUUGUUUUGUAAGUUGGAGGUGAAAUCCCCGGGCUCAACCUGGGAACUGCCUCCAAAACUGCAUGACUAGAGUACGGUAGAGGGUAGUGGAAUUUCCUGUGUAGCGGUGAAAUGCGUAGAUAUAGGAAGGAACACCAGUGGCGAAGGCGACUACCUGGACUGAUACUGACACUGAGGUGCGAAAGCGUGGGGAGCAAACAGGAUUAGAUACCCGGGUAGUCC